rnacentral:rRNA from 1 species
CCUACGGGAGGCAGCAGUGAGGAAUCUUCCGCAAUGGGCGAAAGCCUGACGGAGCGACACCGCGUGGUGGAUGAAGGCCUUUUUGGUCGUAAACACCUGUUCUGAGGGACGAAAUUUUUGACGGUACCUCAGGAGAAAGCAUCGGCUAAGCCUGUGCCAGCAGCCGCGGUAAUACAGGCGAUGCAAGCGUUACUCGGAAUUACUGGGCGUAAAGCGUCUGUAGGCGACCUGCCAAGUCUGGGGUAAAAUUUCGGGGCUCAACCCCGAACGCGUCCCGGAAACUAGUGGGAUUGAGCAAUGGAGAGGUAUCUGGAAUGCCGUGAGUAGGAGUAAAAUCCGUAGAUACACGGUAGAACGCCAAAAGCGAAGGCAGGAUACUAGCCAUUCACUGACACUGAGAGACGAAAGCGUGGGGAGCAAAGGGGAUUAGAUACCCCCGUAGUCCACGCCCUAAACGAUGUGUGCUCGAUGUAGGACAUUUUCAAUUGUGUUCUGUGUCUUAGCUAACGCGGUAAGCACACCGCCUGGGAAGUACGGUCGCAAGACUAAAACUCAAAGGAAUAGACGGGGACCCACACAAGCGGUGGAGCAUGGGGUUUAAUUCGAUAAUAAGCGAAGCACCUCACCCAGGCUUGACAUCUUUGGAAUCCUCCAGAAACGGAGGAGUGCCGCAAGGAACCAAAAGACAGGCGCUGCACGGUUGUCGUCAGCUCGUGCCUUGAGGUGUACUGUUAAGUCAGCGAACGAGCGCAACCCUCAUCCUAUGUUGAUUUUUCAUGGGAGACUGCCGCCUCCAAGGCGGAGGAAGGUGGGGAUGACGUCAGAUCAGCGUGGCCCUUAUGCCUGGGGCAACACCCGUGCUACAAUGGUCGGUACAAAGGGCAGCGAACCCGCGAGGGGGAGCCAAUCCCAAAAAGCCGAUCUCAGUUCGGAUUGAAGUCUGCAACUCGACUUCAUGAAGUUGGAAUCGCUAGUAACCGUGAAUCAGCUACGUCACGGUGAAUAUGUUCCUGGGUCUUGUACUCACCGCCCGUCAAGUCAUGAAAGGUAGAGGCAUCUGAAGCACCCUUACCCCUCACCUUUUUACUUUCAAGUGAUAGAAUCACAACAUGUACUGCGUAUAUGUUUUG